GACCGUGCGAAGGUAGCAUAAUCAUUAGUUUUUUAAUUGAAGGCUAGAAUGAAUGGUUGGACAAGAGAUAAUCUGUCUUAAAUUAAUAUAUUGAAUUUAACUUUUAAGUGAAAAGGCUUAAAUAAUCUGAAGGGACGAUAAGACCCUAUAAAACUUUAUAUUGAAAAGUGAUAGGUAUAUUUUGUUUAAAGAAUUAUUACUUUAAAGUAUUUGGUUGGGGUGACAAGAAUAGAAGAGAAAGUAAUUGUUUUUUUUUUAUACAAUAAUGUUUGGGUUAGUGAUCCUAAAAUGGAUUAAAGAUUAAGUUACUUUAGGGAUAACAGCGUAAUUUUCUUUGAGAGUUCUUAUCGAUAAGAAAGUUUGCGACCUCGAUGUUGAAUUAAAGGUUCUUUAUGGAGUAGAGACUAUAAAAGAAGGUCUGUUCGACCUUUAAAACUUUACAUGAUUUGAGUUCAGACCGGUGUGAGCCAGGUUGGUUUCUAUC
rnacentral:rRNA from 1 species